GACAGAGGGUGCAAACGUUGUUCGGAAUUACUGGGCGUAAAGCGCGUGUAGGCGGCUAAGUAAGUCGGGCGUGAAAUCCCACGGCUCAACCGUGGAAGUGCACUCGAAACUGCAUAGCUAGAGUCCUGGAGAGGAAGGUGGAAUGCUUGGUGUAGAGGUGAAAUUCGUAGAUAUCAAGCGGAACACCGGUGGCGAAGGCGGCCUUCUGGACAGUGACGUGACGCUGAGACGGCGAAAGCGUGGGAGCAAACAGG
rnacentral:rRNA from 1 species